rnacentral:rRNA from 1 species
CAUCAACUGGAGGACCGAACCGACUAAUGUUGAAAAAUUAGCGGAUGACUUGUGGCUAGGGGUGAAAGGCCAAUCAAACUCGGAGAUAGCUGGUUCUCCCCGAAAGCUAUUUAGGUAGCGCCUCGGACGAAUACUACUGGGGGUAGAGCACUGUUAAGGCUAGGGGGUCAUCCCGACUUACCAACCCUUUGCAAACUCCGAAUACCAGUAAGUACUAUCCGGGAGACACACGGCGGGUGCUAACGUCCGUCGUGGAGAGGGAAACAACCCAGACCGCCAGCUAAGGUCCCAAAGUAUUGCUAAGUGGGAAACGAUGUGGGAAGGCUCAGACAGCUAGGAUGUUGGCUUAGAAGCAGCCAUCAUUUAAAGAAAGCGUAAUAGCUCACUAGUCGAGUCGGCCUGCGCGGAAGAUGUAACGGGGCUAAGCAAUACACCGAAGCUGCGGCAAUGUCUUUUAGACAUUGGGUAGGGGAGCGUUCUGUAAGCCGUUGAAGGUGAAUCGUAAGGUUUGCUGGAGGUAUCAGAAGUGCGAAUGCUGACAUGAGUAACGACAAAGGGGGGAAACGGGUUAAUAUUCCCGUACUUCUGACUAUUGCGAUGGGGGGACGGAGAAGGCUAGGUGGGCCAGGCGACGGUUGUCCUGGUUCAAGUGCGUAGGCUUGAGAGUUAGGUAAAUCCGGCUCUCUCUAAGGCUGAGACACGACGUCGAGCUACUACGGUAGUGAAGUCAUUGAUGCCAUGCUUCCAGGAAAAGCCUCUAAGCUUCAGAUAGUCAGGAAUCGUACCCCAAACCGACACAGGUGGUCGGGUAGAGAAUACCAAGGCGCUUGAGAGAACUCGGGUGAAGGAACUAGGCAAAAUGGUACCGUAACUUCGGGAGAAGGUACGCUCUUGAUGGUGAAGUCCC